GACGAACCGUGCGAACGUUAUUCGGAAUCACUGGGCUUAAAGCGCGUGUAGGCGGGCCGGCACGUCGGUCGCUGAAAUCCCCCGGCUCAACCGGGGAAGCGGCGUCGAUACGACCGGCCUGGAGGGGGGUAGGGGGCGCCGGAACGGCCGGUGGAGCGGUGAAAUGCGUUGAGAUCGGCCGGAACGCCCGUGGCGAAAGCGGGCGCCUGGACCCCGCCUGACGCUGAGACGCGAAAGCCAGGGGAGCGAACGGG
rnacentral:rRNA from 1 species